rnacentral:rRNA from 1 species
UACGUAGGGUGCAAGCGUUGUCCGGAAUUAUUGGGCGUAAAGAGCUCGUAGGCGGUCUGUCGCGUCUGCUGUGAAAACUCGGGGCUUAACCCCGGGCCUGCAGUGGGUACGGGCAGACUAGAGUGCGGUAGGGGAGACUGGAAUUCCUGGUGUAGCGGUGAAAUGCGCAGAUAUCAGGAGGAACACCUGAGGUGAAGACGGGUUGCUGGGCUGACACUGACGCUGAGGCGCGAAAGCCAGGGGAGCAAACGGG